GCGAAAACUUUACAAUGCUGGCAACAGCGAUAAGGGAACCUCGAGUGCCAGGUUACAAAUCUGGCUGUCGAGAUGCCUAAAAAGCAUUUCAUAGCAAGUGCCGGGCAAGACCGGUGCCAGCCGCCGCGGUAACACCAGCGGCUCGAGUGAUAACCGUUCUUAUUGGGGCUAAAGGGUCUGUAGCCGGCCGGAUAAGUGUCUUGAGAAAUCUGGCAGCUUAACUGUCAGGCUUUCAGGAGAUACUGUCUGGCUCGAGGCCGGGAGAGGUGAGAGGUACUUCAGGGGUAGGGGUGAGAUCUUGUAAUCCUUGAAGGACCACCAGUGGCGAAGGCGUCUCACCAGAACGGACCUGACGGCAAGGGACGAAAGCUAGGGGCACGAACC
rnacentral:rRNA from 1 species